UCAAGUGACUAAGUGCAUGUGGCGGAUGCCUUGGCGAUCACAGGCGAAGAAAGACGCGGCAGCCUGCGAAAAGCUGCGGGGAGCUGGCAAACGAGCUUUGAUCCGCAGAUAUCUGAAUGGGGGAACCCACACCGUAAGGUGUAUCCGUGACUGAAUACAUAGGUUACGGAGGCGAACGAGGAGAACUGAAACAUCUAAGUAUCCUCAGGAAAAGAAAUCAACCGAGAUUCCGGCAGUAGCGGCGAGCGAACCCGGAGGAGCCUAGCUUUUGAUAGUACGAACUUUAGCCGAAAGGUCCUGGAAAGGCCUGCUAUAGUGGGUGAUAGCCCCGUAGGCGAAAGAGUUCGUAUGGUACUAAGGAAGCGAGAAGUAGAGCGGGACACGUGGAAUCCUGUUCGAAGAUGGGGGGACCAUCCUCCAAGGCUAAAUACUCGUGAUCGACCGAUAGUGAACCAGUACCGUGAGGGAAAGGCGAAAAGAACCCCGGGAGGGGAGUGAAAUAGAACCUGAAACCGCAUGCAUACAAACAGUAGGAGCCUUUACGGAGGUGACUGCGUACCUUUUGCAUAAUGGGUCAGCGACUUACAUUCUGUGGCGAGCUUAACCGAAUAGGGGAGGCGCAGCGAAAGCGAGUUCGAAAUGAGCGUCCAGUCGCAGGGUGUAGACCCGAAACCAGAUGAGCUAUCCAUGGCCAGGUUGAAGGUGUGGUAACACACACUGGAGGACCGAACCGACUAGUGUUGCAAAAUUAGCGGAUGAGCUGUGGAUAGGGGUGAAAGGCCAAACAAAUCUGGAGAUAGCUGGUUCUCCCCGAAAACUAUUGAGGUAGUGCCUCGUGUGUCGCUCCAGGGGGUAGAGCACUGUUUUGGCUAGGGGGACAUGGAGUCUUACCAAACCAAGGCAAACUCCGAAUACCUGGAAGCGUAAGCACGGGAGACAGAGCACCGGGUGCUAACGUCCGGACUCAAAAGGGAAACAACCCAGACCGCCGGCUAAGGUCCCCAAUAACAGCUAAGUGGAAAACGAAGUGGAAAGGCCGUGACAACCAGGAAGUUGGCUUAGAAGCAGCCAUCCUUCAAAGAAAGCGUAAUAGCUCACUGGUCGAGUCCUUCUGCGCGGAAGAUGUAACGGGGCUAAGCUGUUAACCGAAGCCGCGGAUGCACUGAUUAUUCAGUGCGUGGUAGGGGAGCGUUCUGUAAGUCUGCGAAGGCGGUUCGAGAGGACUGCUGGAGAUAUCAGAAGUGCGAAUGCUGACAUGAGUAACGUUAAAGCAGGUGAAAAGCCUGCUCGCCGUAAGCCCAAGGAUUCCUGCUCUACGUUCAUCGGAGCAGGGUGAGUCGGCUCCUAAGGUCAGGCCGAAAGGCGUAGCCGAUGGGAAUCAGGUUAAUAUUCCUGAACCUGCGUCAGAUGCGAUGGGGGGACGGAGCAUGAAAGAUCAUCCGGGUGUUGGAUGUCCCGGUUGACGAGCGUAGGAGGUCUGCAGGCAAAUCCGCAGACGCAUCUCCAAGGCGAAGACACGUGCCGCCACGGCGGCGAAGUGAUCGGAAGUGCUUCCAAGAAAAGCCUCUAAGCACCAGUCUGACGCGGACCGUACCGCAAACCGACACUGGUGGGCGAGCUGAAUAUGCUCAGGCGCUUGAGAGAACUCGGGAGAAGGAACUCGGCAAAUUGACACCGUAACUUCGGAAGAAGGUGUGCCGUAGUACCGUGAGAGGAGAGACACCUUGAGCGGGAAUCGGUCUCAGAGAAUAGGUGGCUGCGACUGUUUAUUAAAAACACAGCACUCUGCAAAGUCGAAAGACGACGUAUAGGGUGUGAUGCCUGCCCGGUGCUGGAAGAUUAAUUGAUGGGGUGAGAGCCCUUGAUCGAAGUCCCAGUAAACGGCGGCCGUAACUAUAACGGUCCUAAGGUAGCGAAAUUCCUUGUC
rnacentral:rRNA from 1 species